rnacentral:rRNA from 1 species
UACGUAGGGGGCUAGCGUUGUCCGGAUUUAUUGGGCGUAAAGAGCGUGUAGGCGGCCAAGUAGGUCCGGUAUGAAAACUCGAGGCUUAACCUCGAGAUGUCAUCGGAAACCAUUUGGCUAGAGUCCGGAAGAGGAAAGUGGAAUUCCUGGUGUAGCGGUGAAAUGCGCAGAUAUCAGGAAGAACACCAAUGGCGAAGGCGGCUCUCUGGGACGGUACUGACGCUGAGACGCGAAAGCGUGGGGAGCGAACGGG